CAGGUAGAUAGGUUAGGAGUGUAAUUGUGGUGACACAUUUAGCAGACUAAUACUAAUAGCUCGAGGACUUAUCCAAAA
rnacentral:rRNA from 1 species